rnacentral:rRNA from 1 species
ACCUACGGGAGGCAGCAGUCGAGAAUCAUUCACAAUGGGGGAAACCCUGAUGGUGCGACGCCGCGUGAACGAGGAAGGUCUUCGGAUCGUAAAGUUCUGUUGAAGGGGAAAAAGAGCGGAGAGAGGAAAUGGUCUCCGAUUGAUAUUACCCUUCGAGGAAGUCACGGCUAACUACGUGCCAGCAGCCGCGGUAAUACGUAGGUGGCGAGCGUUAUCCGGAAUGAUUGGGCGUAAAGGGUGCGUAGGCGGCCUGCUAAGUCUGGAGUGAAAGGUACCGGCUCAACCGGUACAGGCUCUGGAAACUG